rnacentral:rRNA from 1 species
CAUGGCGGACGGCCCUACACAUGCGAGUCGAACGAACUCUUCGGAGUUAGUGGCGGACGGGUGAGUAACACGUGGGAACGUGCCUUUAGGUUCGGAAUAACUCAGGGAAACUUGUGCUAAUACCGAAUGUGCCCUUCGGGGGAAAGAUUUAUCGCCUUUAGAGCGGCCCGCGUCUGAUUAGCUAGUUGGUGGUGUAAUGGACCACCAAGGCGACGAUCAGUAGCUGGUCUGAGAGGAUGAUCAGCCACAUUGGGACUGAGACACGGCCCAAACUCCUACGGGAGGCAGCAGUGGGGAAUCUUGCGCAAUGGGCGAAAGCCUGACGCAGCCAUGCCGCGUGAAUGAUGAAGGUCUUAGGAUUGUAAAAUUCUUUCACCGGGGACGAUAAUGACGGUACCCGGAGAAGAAGCCCCGGCUAACUUCGUGCCAGCGGCCGCGGUAAUACGAAGGGGGCUAGCGUUGCUCGGAAUUACUGGGCGUAAAGGGAGCGUAGGCGGACAUUUAAGUCAGGGGUGAAAUCCCGGGGCUCAACCUCGGAAUUGCCUUUGAUACUGGGUGUCUUGAGUAUGAGAGAGGUGUGUGGAACUCCGAGUGUAGAGGUGAAAUUCGUAGAUAUUCGGAAGAACACCAGUGGCGAAGGCGACACACUGGCUCAUUACUGACGCUGAGGCUCGAAAGCGUGGGGAGCAAACAGGAUUAGAUACCCUGGUAGUCCACGCCGUAAACGAUGAUUGCUAGUUGUCGGGAUGCAUGCAUUUCGGUGACGCAGCUAACGCAUUAAGCAAUCCGCCUGGGGAGUACGGUCGCAGAUUAAAACUCA